AACCUUGAAAUACCACCCUUUAAUGUUUGAUGUUCUAACGUUGGCCCCUUACCGGGGUUGCGGACAGUGUCUGGUGGGUAGUUUGACUGGGGCGGUCUCCUCCCAAAGCGUAACGGAGGAGCACGAAGGUUAGCUAAUCCUGGUCGGACAUCAGGAGGUUAGUGCAAUGGCAUAAGCUAGCUUGACUGCGAGCGUGACGGCGCGAGCAGGUGCGAAAGCAGGUCAUAGUGAUCCGGUGGUUCUGAAUGGAAGGGCCAUCGCUCAACGGAUAAAAGGUACUCCGGGGAUAACAGGCUGAUACCGCCCAAGAGUUCAUAUCGACGGCGGUGUUUGGCACCUCGAUGUCGGCUCAUCACAUCCUGGGGCUGAAGUAGGUCCCAAGGGUAUGGCUGUUCGCCAUUUAAAGUGGUACGCGAGCUGGGUUUAGAACGUCGUGAGACAGUUCGGUCCCUAUCU
rnacentral:rRNA from 1 species